rnacentral:misc_RNA from 1 species
GUUUUGUUUAAUUGAAUUUGGAAAUUUCUGGCUUGAAAUUGCAACUUAAUUUGUGAUUUUUUUGGGUGGACUGUGAGAUAAUAAGAGUAACACUUGUGAUAUUAUGUAGUCACGCUAGUGGUAGUCCUGAAUUGGACUUAGAAUCUUGAUCGGUAGGACUUUAAACGAUUAUCAUUUUCAUCAUCAUUAGCAAGAAUUUUGGAGCUUACUUUCUAGUGAUGCUCAUGAAAUCAGAACUUUUU